UGCUGUGAUGGUGUAAUUUGCGUCUGACCUUGUGGACAGUGACAGUUGCCUGCUGUCAAUAUGCUGGCACAGGCGGGUGACGAUCAUUCUUUAUCUGAGCA